rnacentral:rRNA from 1 species
UACAUGGGGUGCAAACGUUGCUCGGAAUUAUUGGGCGUAAAGCGCACGUAGGCGGUCCGUUAAGUCGGAUGUGAAAGCCCCCGGCUCAACCGGGGAAGUGCAUCCGAAACUGGCAGGCUAGAGUACGAAAGAGGGUCGCGGAAUUCCCGGUGUAGAGGUGAAAUUCGUAGAUAUCGGGAGGAACACUGGUGGCGAAGGCGGCGACCUGGGUCGAUACUGACGCUGAGGUGCGAAAGCGUGGGGAGCAAACAGG